UGGCAAAGGAAGCAUCGUCAUGCCAAGAGGCUUCAAGAAACCAAUCCUUCCCGUGAUCCCAAUCCCCCAGGCCCCUCUUCAUCCGCCCAAGAUUCUCUACCCACUAAUGGACACGCCCAAGUUUGGAGGCCAGUUUGCUGGCGGUUUCGGUGGUUACGGACUAAGUGGUGGC